GCGGAGACACAUGUUUCCGUUCACUCCUCACACCACACCCCGCCUGGACUUCGGUUUAGGCGGUU
rnacentral:sRNA from 1 species